rnacentral:rRNA from 1 species
GUCUACGGCCAUGCUACCCUAAACAAGCCUGAAUCCCGUCUGAUCUUGGAAGCUAAGCAGGGUCAGGCCUGGUUAGUACUUGGAUGGGAGACCACCUAGGAAGACCAGGUGCUGUAGGCA